ACACCGCGUGAGUGAAGAAGGGUUUCGGCUCGUAAAACUCUGUUGUUAAAGAAGAACGUAUCUAAGAGUAACUGCUUAGGUAGUGACGGUAUUUAACCAGAAAGCCACGGCUAACUACGUGCCAGCAGCCGCGGUAAUACGUAGGUGGCAAGCGUUAUCCGGAUUUAUUGGGCGUAAAGCGAGCGCAGGCGGUUUUUUAAGUCUGAUGUGAAAGCCUUCGGCUUAACCGAAGAAGUGCAUCGGAAACUGGGAAACUUGAGUGCAGAAGAGGACAGUGGAACUCCAUGUGUAGCGGUG
rnacentral:rRNA from 1 species